rnacentral:ncRNA from 2 species
CCUACUCGUGAACGCGACGGUUCCCUCACGGGAUCAAAAGGGAACGCAGUGCGGGUGGCUCGUCCACCUCAUGCUGCGGCUGCCCCCGCAACUGUAAGCGGCGAGCCUUUCGCCAUACGCCACUGGGACCUCGGCCCUGGGAAGGCGGCGAAAGGCGGUGACCCGCGAGCCAGGAGACCUGCCGUCAGCCGUGGUCACAC